CCUACGGGUGGCAGCAGUGAGGAAUAUUGGUCAAUGGACGAGAGUCUGAACCAGCCAAGUAGCGUGAAGGAUGACUGCCCUAUGGGUUGUAAACUUCUUUUAUAUGGGAAUAAAACGUUCCACGUGUGGGAUUUUGUAUGUACCAUAUGAAUAAGGAUCGGCUAACUCCGUGCCAGCAGCCGCGGUAAUACGGAGGAUCCGAGCGUUAACCGGAUUUAUUGGGUUUAAAGGGAGCGUAGGUGGAUUGUUAAGUCAGUUGUGAAAGUUUGCGGCUCAACCGUAAAAUUGCAGUUGAAACUGGCAGUCUUGAGUACAGUAGAGGUGGGCGGAAUUCGUGGUGUAGCGGUGAAAUGCUUAGAUAUCACGAAGAACUCCGAGUGCGAAGGCAGUUCACUGGACUGCAACUGACACUGAGGCUCGAAAGUGUGGGUAUCAAACAGGAUUAGAUACCCUAGUAGUC
rnacentral:rRNA from 1 species